UCUGAUAAUAAAUAAAUAAAUAAAUAUUAAAAGAAAAUUUUAAUUGCAAAAGAGGGAAUUAAAUUUUCGAAUUUUUUUUAAAAGAAGAAGAGAAGGAGAGGAGAGAGAGAGAGAGAGAAAAGUAGUGUUGAAAAUACGGUCCUGGUUGGCGGUGGUGGUUUCGCGCCCGCCGGGUCGGGGGUGGUUCGUCCUUUUCUCCACUGUGCCCCUUUGGAGCGCAACUGAGACCCAUCGGUGUGGUGGCUUCAGGUUUUUUCGCGAGAGAGAACAGUGCCAGAGAGGCGCGCGUUCUCCGACCCGGUGCAUCGUUCCGCUUCCGAUCUCUCUCCUUCCAAAGGAAAAAAAAAUAAAUAAUAACGAAACCAAACCCAAGUGUUAUUUACACACAAUUUUUCAGCGGACAGUUUAUCCCAAUUCAUCGCAAAGCCCAAUUUUAAUUCUUUUCCAAUUUCUACACUAAGUAAAAAAAAAAAAAAACAAUUUCCAGCCAAAACAAGUGCAAAAAAGUCAUUUAGAUAAUUAAACUUUUAUUUCAAAUUAACAAGGCAAAACCGAAAGAUUUUCAAUAUUUUUCUAUACAUAAAGAAUUUUGAAUUCGAGACGAGAGAAAAUAUUUCUUUUAGGGGAUACAUUAUUUUAAUUAAAAGAUUUUGAAUUAGAAAAGGAUGAAUUAAAGGAAGAAUACAAAUUUAAUGUUUCGAGGAAGAAAAGAAAAAAAGAAAAUUCCCCAUCUGUGGAAUAAUGAGUAGCAUAAAUUGUGAAAAUGUGAAAAAUCCUCGUGAUUGUGGUACAAUGAGUAGAUGAAUAUAAUUGAGAAUUCUUCUAUUUCUCUAGAGAAUUAUUAUUGUCAAGGAUGUGACGAAAAUUCAUCGAGAAUGCAGUAUGAUUUUCAAUAUGUGAUCUCAUAAUGGACUUUCGACUUGCACCGGUUUGAUAUAUUUCCUUGUGAGACAAGACACGUAACGAGGAAGGAGAAAGGGAAAAAACUAAGCCUGGGCCAAUUGUUGUGAGCGUAAUGAAAGAAUCUAGGCCAGUCCCUGUGGAGCAAGGUUUUGCGUGGAAACUUGCACUACAGAAACACUAGCUCGUUGCACUUGAUGUGCUUCCAAUGUUGGUGAAGAGAAUUUUCAAAUUGUAUUGGUAUUAACAUCAUCCAGUGUCUCCUGAUUACGUCUGCCAACCUGGACAUUCAUUUAGAGACGAUAUGAAUAGUUAUAUAAAUGUGUAGAUAGCAAUCGAGGGAUUCCAUCAAGAUGUUGAUAAAAGAAUAUCGAAUACCUCUGCCCUUGACGGUGGAGGAAUAUCGGAUUGCUCAGCUGUAUAUGAUAGCGAAAAAAUCGAGGGAGGAGAGUAAAGGCGCAGGAAGUGGCGUCGAGAUAAUUGUGAAUGAACCAUAUGCAAAUGGUCCCGGCGGAAAUGGUCAAUAUACACACAAAAUAUAUCACGUUGGAAGUCAUUUGCCCGGUUGGUUCAAAAGUCUAUUGCCAAAGUCAGCGUUGACUGUAAAGGAGGAGGCAUGGAAUGCCUAUCCCUAUACAAAAACACGUUACACUUGUCCAUUUGUCGAGAAAUUCUCCCUAGAAAUUGAAACCUACUAUUAUCCUGAUAAUGGACAUCAGGAAAAUGUUUUCAAACUCAGUGGGAGUGAUCUUAGAAAUAGAAUUGUUGAUAUUAUUGACGUUGUAAAGGAUCCGCUCUAUGGGGCGGAUUACGUGAAAGAAGAAGAUCCAAAUUCGUACAUAUCCGAAAAGACUGGAAGGGGCCCUUUGACGGAAAUUUGGCUCGAUGAAUACUGGAACGAUGUGAAGGGAAAAUCACAACCGACGCCUGCGGGAAAAUCUCUGAUGUGCGCCUACAAAUUAUGUCGUGUAGAAUUUCGCUAUUGGGGAAUGCAAACAAAAUUGGAAAAAUUCAUUCAUGAUGUGGCUCUGAGAAAGACAAUGUUGCGAGCACAUCGACAAGCAUGGGCCUGGCAAGACGAAUGGCAUGGUUUAACAAUGGACGAUAUAAGGGAAAUUGAACGACAAACACAAUUGGCAUUGCAGAAAAAAAUGGGCCUUACAGAAAUGGGCGAUGAGGAUGAGAAUGAGGAGGAGGAGGAGGAGGAGACAUUGGGAACUUCGAGUACAAUUACAACUCCACAAGAUUCAAAUGUCGCUAAAACACUCGCCGCCACAUUGGGAAGUAUUGAGAAAAAUGAGGAUCCUCAAAGUCCCCCAUCACUUCGCAAGCCGUCCGACAUUCCAAUAAUCAACACAGCCGUUAGUUCCGAGGGCGAAGCAUCCCCCGAGGAUUCGCCCAUUGAAUCAACAGCGCCAAGACCCGCACAGAAAGCGGAGCCGGAGAAAUCCUGGAAAAAAUCGACUGCAUCACUUCCAUCUCCAAAUUCAUCGAAAAAUUUCGAUAUUCAAAUAGCAAAUUGGCGAAUGGAGAGUAUUGUCAGAGAAUCGGAAUCGGGAAGUGAUGAUGAAUUUUUUGAUUGUCAAGAGGACUUGGGGGAUAACUCAUCAUUAUGUAAAUGGAGUUCUUUGGAUCUUCUAGCAGAAGUUGAAGAUUCAACAUCUCCGACAGCGGUGACUGCCUCAAAACAAGAAGAAGAUUCGAUAUUUUCCACAUCGUAUUUGCAACGAGUUGCGAGUGAACGAAGUAGUAAACGAUUGCAAAUUAGAACGUCGGCGAGUGUAGAUGUUUCUUGUAUACCAUCACCUCAACAAUCGCCCACACAUCAACCCUGCAGGACAACAGUUUUAUUACUCGUCAUGCACGCCGGUAGUGUUCUCGAUGCAAAUGUUGAUUUGCCAGCGAAAAAAUCAGAUAUCACUACAUUUAGGGGAGCCUUUGAAUCGGUGAUGAGACAACAUUACCCGAGUAUGGUUGGUCAUAUAGAUGUUAGAUUAGUCGCUUGUCCAUCAAUUUGCAGCGAGGGACUCGGUAUUCUCUCCAUUUUGAGUCCCUAUAGUUUCGAUGUUUCGCCAUCGUGUAUGGACACGCCGCAAGUAACACACGAUACUAUUCCAAUUGGAGCAAUUCCACUAUUGGCAAGUUCAAGUUCCGAAUAUCAAGAUUCAGUUUCAAAAGUGAUUAACACAGCGAAUCAGGUUUAUCAAGAUUUUAUUAGAAGCGACGAAGGUAAAGGUUUCAAUGGACAGGUUUGUUUCAUUGCUGAUUCAGUUGGAUCGAUAUUGGCCUAUGACGCACUUUGUCGAACAUCACAAUAUCAUUCGCGCAAUGGAAGUGAGAAUAGCAUUCUUGAAAAUGACAAUCAAGCGACAGAUAAUUGCGGCAGUGCCGGCGUCGAGGACAGUAAACAUUUAUCAGCACCAUCGCCAAGAAGAAGGUCUUCAUCGACAAGCGAUCAUUCACAGCAAUGUAAAUUGGAAUUUGAAGUCAGCGAAUUUUUCAUGUUUGGAAGUCCCUUGGGAUUGGUGUUGUCUUAUAGAAAAAUCUCCUCGAACGAUGAUAAAAGCAGUAAUAUUCCAAGGCCGGCAGUAAAUCAUGUGUACAAUAUGUUCCAUCCCACUGAACCGGUAGCCGCUAGAUUAGAACCAUUAAUUUCCGCGAGAUUCUCCCUUCUGCCGCCAGUUAAUGUUGCCCGAUAUCAAAAAUAUCCACUUGGCAACGGUCUUCCUUGUCAUUUACUGGAUGCAAUUCAGUCUAAUCCGCAUUUCUUUACUGAUGGACUGAACGUUCCUAAUGCAACGUUUUCAACAAUGCGAAGACUCUCCGAUAUUUCUAUUCAAAGCUCCAUGUCAGGAAUGAUUGACACUGUUCCAUUGCAAGCCGUUUCUGCUCUAACACAGAAAUGGUGGGGGACAAAACGAAUAGAUUACGCUUUAUAUUGUCCUGAGGGUCUUGCAAAUUUUCCCGCGAAUGCAUUGCCUCAUUUAUUCCACGCCAGUUAUUGGGAAUCGUCUGACGUAAUUGCCUUUAUUUUACGACAAUUGGGCAGAUUUGAUUUGCCAUUGCUUUCUAAUGAAGAGAAAGAGCUCACAAGCUUCCGUCCAGGUCAGCCGCGAGAGAAAUGGAACAAAAAACGCACUUCCGUUAAAUUAAAGAGUGUGGCAGCGAAUCACAGAGCAAAUGAUGUGAUUGUGAGAGAGGGUGUACCACAAAUUCUAGUCGCUAGAUUUAUGUAUAGUCCAAUAGACGUGAUUGCACUGACGGGUGAAAAAGUUGAUAUUCAUAUCAUGAGAGAUGCACCGGCCGGUGAAUGGACUUAUCUUUCUACUGAAGUCACCGAUAAGAAUGGAAAAAUUGUUUACAAAAUUCCCGACGAAAAGGCUUUAGGCUACGGUCUUUAUCCCAUUAAAAUGGUAGUCAGAGGCGACCAUACGUCUGUAGAUUUUUUCAUGGCUGUGAUACCACCAAGAACAGAGUGUGUAGUUUUUAGUAUCGAUGGAAGUUUUACUGCUAGCGUAUCAGUGAGUGGCAGAGAUCCUAAAGUGAGACCCGGUGCUGUCGAUGUUGUGAGACACUGGCAAGAACUGGGAUAUUUAAUAAUUUACAUAACAGCAAGGCCGGAUAUGCAACAACAAAUUGUCGUCUCAUGGCUCUCGCAACACAAUUUUCCACAUGGACUUGUCUCCUUUGCGGAAGGUAUCAAUAAGGAUCCCCUUCGUCACAAGGCUGCGUACUUGAACAAUCUUGUCCAGGAACACGGAGUCAGUAUUCAUUACGCUUACGGUAGCAGUAAGGACAUAAGUGUCUAUACGUCGAUAAAUUUGAAACCAAAUCAAAUAUUUAUUGUUGGUAAAGUGCCAAAGAAGCAGCAAGCAUUAGCGACAGUAUUGUCGGAAGGUUACGCGGCACAUUUGAGCACACUACAGGCUCACGGCGGUUCGCGACCUGCUCAGGGAAAUGCUCGAAUGGUCAUUCCUCGGGGACAAUUUGGAUUACCAGGACAAAAUACAUCGUUACGACGGAGAAGUAACGACACAGCAGUCAGCUCGCCAGCGCGUAGCAACGUGAACUUAAAGCGGAAAGUCUACCGUAGUCACAUCUAACACGCUCCUAAUUAUCUGCGUACAAUUUACUAACUUACAUUGGUGCCUGCUAUGAGGAUUUGUCGCGUUGUGCAGCAUAGCUAAUAUUUCCUUCUACCAAGCUGCCCAGCAUCCAAUGCUCAAAAAAAAAAAAAAAAUUAUUCUUUAAAUUGUCGACCGUUACACGAAAAAAAUAUAUGUCCAGGAUUUGUGGUUUAAGCAACUCUCUCUCUUUCUCUCUCUCUCUCUCUCUCUCUUUCUCACACACUAUAGAAACGAGACUAAAAAUUAUUUUUCAAAUAAAAAAAUAAAAAUAGAAACGGUCUCGCUUUUACAUUCAAGUUCUUUUAGGACACCGAAACGCUCACCAUUCGGUCGCAGAGUCUUAGAGCGAAGUACAAGUGUGGGACCCUCGACAACAACAUCAUCAUCAUCGUCGUCCUCAGCACCAACAACAAAAACACCAGCUCAAGAAAAACUCUGACGUUUUGCACGCUGCCGCUCAUUCUUCGAGUCCCGGCAGUAAAAAAAUAGUAAGCAA